CCUGCCUUCAAAACAGACUAAGGACCAAAACUGGACCAAAGCGGGCAAAAACCAGGACUAAAACCAAGACUAAAACCGGACCGACUCUAGACUUUAACCGGAUCAAAAACUGGGCACAAAAAUCUAAACCUAAAUCUAAACCAAAUAUAUCAUAACUGGACUAAGAGCAGAUCGAAACCUGGACCAAAGACCAGACUGGGACCAAGCUGAACUGGAUUUAAACCGGUCUUAAACUGGACUUACAGAUACAGAGCCUGCUUCUAAAACGGAUAUAUUUUCACAUCGGAUCUGAAACAUUUGUGCUUUUAAGCUGUUUCCUGUUAGAGGCUCUUGACCAAUUAAGGACGUCGAAAGUCGCUUAUUUUAAGAGGAAAUAUGCAGAAGAGGAGUUACCCCCCGCAGUGCCGGCUUACCUACACCAACACCUGAUCUUGUCUGAGGACCGUGGCUGUAUUUUGGCCUUGUCUCUGGAGAAGUUGAGGUUUCUGAUGGAUCCGGAGGUUUACCUGCGCCGCGCGGUACUGAUCCAAAACCUGCUCCGCAAAAUCCACCUGGAACCAGUCCCGAGCGAGAGAGAGGAGGGGCGAACGAGACCCGGAGCAAGACCUGGAGCAAGUCCCAGGUCCAAUCCUGGGUCUAGUCUUGGGUCUGGUCCUGGUCUAAACCCGGGUCUGAACCCGGGACCCAACAGGAAGAGACUGAAAAGAGUCCUGACAGACUUUCAACCCCAGACUGUGCUGGUGUACGACAAUGGAUGAACACAUUUAGUUUGGAUUUGUUUCAGAUUUUUACCUGUUGUCAACCUGGUUUAGUCCUGGUUUAGUCCAGGUUUAGUCCUGGUUUAGUUCUGGUUAAACCUGGUUUAAAUCUGCUUUUGUUCUGGGACAGAACAUUGACAAUCCUGGUAGACAUGAUACAAGGUGGAGUACAUGAUGCUAAUGUUACAUCCAUGGGUUUCAGAAUGUCAAAAAUUAGGGCCAUUGUCAUAGAGAUUAAUAAUUUAAAUAGUUAAUUGGGCUAAAUGUUUUCAAAACCAUUGAAGUGGAAAAUGUCCUCAAAAUGUUGGGCAUAACAGGAAACAGACCCAUGGAUUGUUAAAAAAAAUCAACCAAAAAAGCUGAUUAAAACCAGCUCUCAUUAUGUUUGUACUUUUAUCCAAAGUCAUUUACUCACAUUUAGUUAUUAUCCACAGAAAUGUGACUUUAAUGAAGUAAAUGUUUCAGAUCCGUUUGUUCAGAUUGUUUUGACUCAAGGACUGAGGCCCAUUCUUUAUUUCGUGAUCGUCUUGAUGUUAAGUGCUUUGGCAGUGUGUUAUGCAUUACAGGUGUUUUACCACUGUGUCAUUGGGCAAGACACUUAACUCACCUUUGCUGUUAUGUGUGUCUAUUAUUUUUAGUCUGACUUGUUUCUUAUCUUUCUCUCUUCACUGUAUUUCAAAAAAUGUGAUUUUUUUUUCAGGGAAGUUCAAAUUGUCUGUUGGAUUUUUAUGCAAUUAUCUUUUUUUUUUUUUAUCUGACUAAAGCAGAACAGUCCAGUUUAUUUAAAAGAACAGCUUUGGCUCCCUCUGCUGGUGAAAACAUAGUAUAAUUUCUGUAUAUGCUUUGGUAAAUUUUGUCCCUUGCAUAAAGUUGUUGAACUAAUUCCUUGUUUGUAACACUUCACAUCAUAUUUUGCUUUGCUUUUCUUUACAAAUAUAUGGAAUGUUUACAACUCUCGCCUCACAGCAAGAAGCUCCCUGGUUCGAUUCCUGGAGCCAGAGGAGUUUGCAUGUGCUCCUCCUUCACCCUUAAGCCAAGAAGCACAUUGAGAUGGUUGGACUUAAAAAAAAAAAAGGUAAAAUUAUUGCAGCAGAGAAUAUAUUUUCAUGAAUGUAUUUCAAAGCAUUUUAAAUAAAAAAAAAAGCUAUUUCCGAAUGUUUUAAAAAUAAAUUAUAUCAUAUUACAUUUGUUUGAAUUCAUUUUUUUUUAACAUUAAGAACAACCUGUUGCCAGAGAGCCAGGAAGUCUAACCCUCAACCUCCUGGUGAGAGGGAGGAGACAGGCUAACCACUCUGCCACAAUAACGCAGGGAGAACGUGCUCACUCCAGAGAUCAGGAGUCGAACCCACAACCGUGCACAUUCAAACCCUUUCGCUCCAAUAAAGAAGUAUUGUCUGGACUUUAUCACAAAACAGAUUUAAUUUAAUAUCUCUUUAUUUUUUAAAAUAAUUAAACAUUUGUAUUUCUCC